UCAGGCCUAACACAUGCAAGUCGUACGGGAAUUUUUAAUUCAAGUGGCGGACGGGUGAGUAACACGUAAGAAUUUGCCUUUAGGAGGGGGACAACAACUGGAAACGGUUGCUAAUACCCCAUAUGCUUUCGAGUGAAAUGGAUUUUUCCGCCUAAAGAGAAGCUUGCGGCUGAUUAGCUUGUUGGUGAGGUAAUGGCUCACCAAGGCGACGAUCAGUAUCUGGUUUGAGAGGAUGAUCAGACACACUGGAACUGAGACACGGUCCAGACUCCUACGGGAGGCAGCAGUGGGGAAUUUUCCGCAAUGGGCGAAAGCCUGACGGAGCAAUCUCGCGUGAGGGAUGAAGGGCUAUGGGUUGUAAACCUCUUUUUCAGGGAGGAACAAAAUGAC
rnacentral:rRNA from 1 species